CCUACGGGUGGCAGCAGUGGGGAAUAUUGGACAAUGGGCGAAAGCCUGAUCCAGCCAUGCCGCGUGUGUGAAGAAGGCCUUCGGGUUGUAAAGCACUUUCAGUGGGGAAGAAAGCCUUGGGGCUAAUACCCUCGAGGAAGGACAUCACCCACAGAAUAAGCACCGGCUAACUCCGUGCCAGCAGCCGCGGUAAAACGGAGGGUGCGAGCGUUAAUCGGAAUUACUGGGCGUAAAGCGCGCGUAGGCGGUCUGAUAAGCCGGUUGUGAAAGCCCCGGGCUCAACCUGGGAACGGCAUCCGGAACUGUCAGGCUAGAGUGCAGGAGAGGAAGGUAGAAUUCCCGGUGUAGCGGUGAAAUGCGUAGAGAUCGGGAGGAAUACCAGUGGCGAAGGCGGCCUUCUGGACUGACACUGACGCUGAGGUGCGAAAGCGUGGGUAGCAAACAGGAUUAGAUACCCUAGUAGUC
rnacentral:rRNA from 1 species